rnacentral:rRNA from 1 species
UACGGGGGGAGCAAGCGUUGUUCGGAUUUACUGGGCGUAAAGGGCGCGUAGGCGGCCACCGCAAGUCGAUUGUGAAAUCUCCGGGCUUAACCCGGAAAGGUCAACCGAUACUGCGGGGCUAGAGUGCGGUAGGGGCAACUGGAAUUCCUGGUGUAGCGGUGAGAUGCGUAGAUAUCAAGAGGAACACCUGCGGCGAAGGCGGGUUGCUGGGCCGACACUGACGCUGAUGCGCGAAAGCUAGGGGAGCGAACGGG